rnacentral:rRNA from 1 species
UAGGGAAUCUUCCGCAAUGGGCGAAAGCCUGACGGAGCAACGCCGCGUGAGUUAUGAAGGUCUUCGGAUCGUAAAACUCUGUUAUUAGGGAAGAACAAAUGUGUAAGUAACUAUGCACGUCUUGACGGUACCUAAUCAGAAAGCCACGGCUAACUACGUGCCAGCAGCCGCGGUAAUACGUAGGUGGCAAGCGUUAUCCGGAAUUAUUGGGCGUAAAGCGCGCGUAGGCGGUUUUUUAAGUCUGAUGUGAAAGCCCACGGCUCAACCGUGGAGGGUCAUUGGAAACUGGAAAACUUGAGUGCAGAAGAGGAAAGUGGAAUUCCAUGUGUAGCGGUGAAAUGCGCAGAGAUAUGGAGGAACACCAGUGGCGAAGGCGACUUUCUGGUCUGUAACUGACGCUGAUGUGCGAAAGCGUGGGGAUCAAACAGG